UCAGUUUAGAUCAAAACUAAUUUCCAAGCUUUAGCAUUCCCGCAUGAUGGAUUCCUUAGUAAAGUCAUCUCUCAAUCAAAAUUUAAAAACAAAAAGAUCAACCAUCUGGCCUUCUCCAAAAGUUGGUUGAGAGGAAGAAAAGAAUUGGAGACAAAGCUUGAGAAGAAGAAAAGAAUCAACGGUCUAAAGCAACUUCUCAGAUUCCCAACAAUAAAGGGAUUAACUUCAGAAACAUCAACAAGUAUCAAACCCAGAACCUAUACCUCCAAAAGUUCUGAAAGAAUUAAGCAUUGCAUUGAUUUUGAAUAUAUACCCCAUAUCGACACGCAUCAAAUGGGUUCAUCAAAUUACUGUAUUGGUGCAUUCAAAUGGUUCAGCAAAUACCAUCUACUUUGCAAAAUAAAUUCCCUGCACGGAUCGCUCCUUACCGAGUAGGUUAGUUCCACAGGUAGGCUAUCGAAAAGUUUG
rnacentral:misc_RNA from 1 species